GCGACACAUUCGAAUGUAUCGCCAUCUACCGAUGUACAAAUAAACUUUUUCAUUUCGAAUUUUUUAUUUCGAAUUUAUUUUUGUUGGUAAUUAAAGAAAGCGUAAUACGAGUUAGGAAGCACUUCAAAAAGAAACUAGUCGUCCCAUCUAACGUAUGUAUUGAAAGGCCAAGUAAAAGAACAUUUGCGAAAAUUUCCAAAGUUAAAAGUCCAGUACCGAGAAUAUUUCCUGGCCUACCAAGACGACUCUUAUGUUGAAGAAGACAACUCUUCGAGAAAGUCUGGAGUCAUAAGAGGAACUAAUAAAGUACUACAGACUAUUUCCGUUAUGAUCAAUAAAUAGAGGAUGGACAGUAGGUGGAAUAGGGUUUGUGUAUAGGGUUAUACUAUAACAAUGGUAUAUAUUUAACUUUGUUGUAAACUAAAUAUGUUGAUAAAAUUGCAUUGUAUUGUACAUGUAAUCUCAAUAAAUGUUAUCAUUUACUGUACAUGUACUUUUGGUUCACCCUGUAUAAUAUCCAUGCAAGUUUGAGAAUCAACCUCUUUCCUUCUCUUUGUUGUAGAAAACUAAUGUGUAACAAAAUUGAUAACUAACUACUAAGUAGUUCUCUGGCAAAAUAUAUUUAGAGGAAAAAAUUAUCUUAAAAGCUUUUAAGUUUUUGGUAAAGUUUAAUCCCCGUAUGUUUAUACCAGUAGUGGUUUUAAUGAGUUAAAACAUUCUGUGCAGUAUGCAAACUAACAUAUAUUAUUUUC